CAUUAGGUAGUUUGUACCACCACACGACAUCUCUGUCUUUCCUGAUUCCGCUGCAGGUGAUGAUGCUGGUACUUUCUUCCACUACGGUUAUCUGACCAUCAUUGCACUGUUCAAUGCGGACUGAGACAUGCACUCAACUUCUUCAGCAAUGGACGAUGUACUGCCAGGCGCAGACCAUGUGACUGGAGCAGGUACCAGGUGAUCAGCAGUGUCAUCAGUAAGAAACUUCAACAUAAAAAUAUCUUAUUGACACAUGUUUUGUUGAAAGACAUUGAAAUAUAAUUAAUUUGUGAAGAAUAUUUAUCAUCUGAUGAGAGCGUGCGCCAAACAAAACCACAAAAAGCAACAAAACAGGUAGACAGACACACAGGAAGAAGUCAUAAGAACGUGACAAACUUGUAUGCAAGCAAGAAAGUAUACAUAUGAAGAGAACAAGGAAGAAAAAUAGAUUAUAGGAAGAUUAAAACUUUGUUGUAAAGUUCUUGUUUAGAAUAUUUUGAAGCAAGAAACUAAAUGGGAUAAAAUCUUAUAAAAUAGAGAAACAAACACAGGUGAAGUAGAAACGAAUGAUUAAAUUUUGAUGCGAAAUUUCUGGCUUGCUUCCUACAACAUAAAUCUUUAAACCGAACCUUUGUGACUUUGGCUGAAGACAAAUUUCCAUACAUAUUCUUUUGUAGUGGUCCUAAAAGCAAAGAAACACACACACACACACACACACACACACACACACACACACACACACACACACACACACACACACACACACACAAGCACCCAAACAUACACACACGCACAAAAUAAAAAUAAAAAUUGGUUAAAAAAGCAUUUCUCCUAUUUUAAGGUUUUUGCAGAUAUGGGUCUUGCUACGAUAUUGUUUUUCAUAAACAGUAAAAAAAGUAAUUACAAACGAAGCUAGAAAGUGUUAUAGUUGUAUAUGUUACCUGGUUGAGGCGGGGUCGGUCCUUGUUCUUGUCUUUGAUGAACUGUAGCCUUGUCUUCCUUUCGUUGCUGCUUACGUUUAUGGACUUGAGAAUAAACCUCCUCGCCCACGAUUUGAAGAGAACGGGGGAACAUGCUGGCUUGCAGUGCUCUGACUAUCGGUCAUCGUAGAAGAGCUCAAUUUGGCAGGUAAUUUGUUGACUUUUGAAUACAAAUCCUUAGAAGACAUGCGGCAAAGACUUUCAAAAGACGAGCGGGCUGGUACGUUUACAUAAUCCGGCAUAUUGGUUGAUGUGGGAUUGUUAUGGCAGGAACUUACUUUGACUACUCGAGAAUACAAGGGAUCGAAAAAAUCAGAAUUGCUCUUCAGACCGCCAAGAGACCUGGUGCCUCUUUCAUUUGAAUCUUUGUGAACACUAUCCGAUGCAAGAAUGCUGAACUGUCUUGCCGAGCUGUUGACUUGAGAGUAGACAUCACUAGCGGAGGAUUCAACACAAGCCUUGGAGGCUGGAAUUCUUCGAGUUGUGUCUGCAAUAGUGCGCAUUUGGGGUGCAAACCUAUUGUCGACAUCCACAUCUCUACGGACCCGAGUAUCAACAAGACGAGUAAUGCUGCUCCAAAGAGACUUCCUAGGAUGACUGCGACUGGGGUCUUUACAUUGGAGUCGUUUGAUUGAGUAGCUUGUGAUGGCGAAUCAGAAGUAAAAGAUGUACCUGACA